rnacentral:rRNA from 1 species
AUUGAACGCUGGCGGCAGGCCUAACACAUGCAAGUCGAACGAGUGGCGGACGGGUGAGUAAUGUCUGGGAAACUGCCUGAGGGAGGGGGAAAACUACUGGACACGGUAUCUAAUACCGUAUACCCUCAGAUGUGCCCAGAUGGGAUUGGCUUGUUGGUGGGGUAACGGCUCACCAAGGCGAUGAUCCCUAGCUGGUCUGAGAGGAUGACCAGCAACACGGGAACUGAGACAGGGUCCAGACUCCUACGGGAGGCAGCAGUGGGGAAUAUUGCACAAUGGGCGCAAGCCUGAUGCAGCCAUGCCGCGUGUAUGAAGAAGGCCUUCGGGUUGUAAAGUACUUUCAGCGGGGAGGCGUUACCCGCAGAAGAAGCACCGGCUAACUCCGUGCCAGCAGCCGCGGUAAUAC